UUUUCUUUACCACUUUAUAGCUUGUUGUCUUAGAAGUUAAUGAAAGAAAUAUUUGUCUGUCGUGUUUCAGUGCAUGAUGUCUCAUGAUGAGGGAUGCAAUCCAGAGAUUCUUCUUCUUCACAACCACUAACUUCCCGCUUGCGUUUGCUGCUGCUCGCUGUCCUCACCUCAGCUCAGCAAUCUUGUACAAAAUUGGACUUCUCGGCUCCUGUGAAGGAUGACCGCGCACCUGUACGCAAAAACGCAUCAUUUGUUCACCUACAAGCAAGACGAGCGAGGCAAGCCGCAGGAUGACCAUCAACGCAGAAUUCCAGCUGCAAAUCCAUCAUUUCCCAAUGGACGAACACUCCUGUCCUCUUGUCUUCUCCAGCUGGAGUCCAGGCGAUUGGCGAGGCCGUUUGUGGUGUCCCAGUUACAGCGGGAACCAUUGAUUAUGGGAUUGAACCGCCCCUACAGGAGGAUAUUUACUAAGCCUGCCACAAUGCAAACACUAUAUGAGACCUGAUGUUGGAGCUUUAACUAGAAGACAGAUGAAAGCCGUAUGAGAAAGAAAACGUCGGUUCAAUAGCUGAAAGUCGUCAGUCGUGAGUCAUAAAUCAGUUGCAGCAGUUAUUUUGUUUACAUUUCUUUGUGAGCAGAAGAUAAAGAUAAAGAACCCGUAACGAGGCUGACAGGGACUUUAUGAAAAACGUCUCUUUUAUUAGCAUCAGCUGUAGAAAAUCUAUGUUUCUAGGUGGCAUUUAGGUGGUCGUGUAAAAUAGACAAUUUUGUCUUCUUUUGACAGUUUAACAGUUCUAGUCUAGUGACAGUCUAAAUGCACGUUUAUGUUAAGAUUCGGGACCGUCUGGUGUUGAAGAAAUGCAUCAGAAUGUGUAAAAAUUGUGACAAAGCCAUCUUAGUUUCCCCCCGCUUCUUCAACCGCCCCCUUUUUUUGAAAAAUGUUACUGAAAGCCAGAUCCAAAUGGUCAGUGUGCCUGAUUUAUAGAGUUUUAAUCACCUCUCAGAGCAGAACGCAAACUUCUUGAUGACAUCCAGAGUCAAUUUUUUGAGUGAGCAGCAAGUGUUUCCCUGUCUGUUUUGCAUGUUGCUAGCCCAGUCUUCCUACUCACUGUACAUCAAGAUAUCUGCUAAAGAUAGGAACAGGAUAUUUACAUUUUGUACCAUUGUGCAUGAGCCAUGCUAUUUGUGCCACAAAAGGC